GCCUGGCUGGCUCAGUUGGUAGAGCAUGUGACUUAUGAUUUCAGGGGCAAGAGUUCAAGCCCCAUGUUGGGCA
rfam:Mustela putorius furo unplaced genomic scaffold scaffold00038, whole genome shotgun sequence.